ACUGGUAUACUUGAGUAUGGUUGCUGUCGGCGGAAUGUAUUAUGUAGCGGUGAAAUGCAUAGAUAUGAUACAGAACACCAAUUGCGAAAGCAGCUGACAAAACCAGCACUGACGCUGAUAGACGAAAGCGUGGGGAGCGAACAGGAUUAGAUACCCUGGUAGUCCACGCAGUAAACUAUGGGCACUAGUUUUUGGCGAUAGACAGUCAGAGACAAAGCGAAAGCGUUAAGUGCCCCACCUGGGGAUUACGUUCGCAAGAAUGAAACUCAAAGGAAUUGACGGGGGCCCGCACAAGCGGAGGAACAUGUGGUUUAAUUCGAUGAUACGCGAGGAACCUUACCUGGGCUUAAAUGCUAGGCGUCUUCGGGCGUAGUCUGUAGAAAUACAGCUUAAACUUGCAAGGUGCUGCAUGGUUGUCGUCAGCUCGUGCCGUGAGGUGUCGGGUUAAGUCCCAUAACGAGCGCAACCCACAUUCUUAGUUGCCAUCAAAUAAGUUGGGCACUCUAGGAAAACUGCCAUCGUAAGAUGUGAGGAAGGUGUGGAUGACGUCAAAUCAGCACGGCCCUUAUGUCCAGGGCUACACACGUGUUACAAUGGUCGGUACAAAAGGCAGCGACCUGGUAACAGAGAGCUAAUCUUAAAAACGCGGCCUCAGUUCGGAUUGGAGUCUGCAAUUCGACUCCAUGAAGUGGGAUUCGCU
rnacentral:rRNA from 1 species